AGCGUACACGGUGGAUGCCCUGGCAGUCAGAGGCGAUGAAGGACGUGCUAAUCUGCGAUAAGCGUCGGUAAGGUGAUAUGAACCGUUAUAACCGGCGAUUUCCGAAUGGGGAAACCCAGUGUGUUUCGACACACUAUCAUUAACUGAAUCCAUAGGUUAAUGAGGCGAACCGGGGGAACUGAAACAUCUAAGUACCCCGAGGAAAAGAAAUCAACCGAGAUUCCCCCAGUAGCGGCGAGCGAACGGGGAGCAGCCCAGAGCCUGAAUCAGUAUGUGUGUUAGUGGAAGCGUCUGGAAAGGCGCGCGAUACAGGGUGACAGCCCCGUACACAAAAAUGCACAUGCUGUGAGCUCGAUGAGUAGGGCGGGACACGUGGUAUCCUGUCUGAAUAUGGGGGGACCAUCCUCCAAGGCUAAAUACUCCUGACUGACCGAUAGUGAACCAGUACCGUGAGGGAAAGGCGAAAAGAACCCCGGCGAGGGGAGUGAAAAAGAACCUGAAACCGUGUACGUACAAGCAGUGGGAGCACAGAGCAAUCUGUGUGACUGCGUACCUUUUGUAUAAUGGGUCAGCGACUUAUAUUCUGUAGCAAGGUUAACCGAAUAGGGGAGCCGAAGGGAAACCGAGUCUUAACUGGGCGUUAAGUUGCAGGGUAUAGACCCGAAACCCGGUGAUCUAGCCAUGGGCAGGUUGAAGGUUGGGUAACACUAACUGGAGGACCGAACCGACUAAUGUUGAAAAAUUAGCGGAUGACUUGUGGCUGGGGGUGAAAGGCCAAUCAAACCGGGAGAUAGCUGGUUCUCCCCGAAAGCUAUUUAGGUAGCGCCUCGUGAAUUCAUCUCCGGGGGUAGAGCACUGUUUCGGCAAGGGGGUCAUCCCGACUUACCAACCCGAUGCAAACUGCGAAUACCGGAGAAUGUUAUCACGGGAGACACACGGCGGGUGCUAACGUCCGUCGUGAAGAGGGAAACAACCCAGACCGCCAGCUAAGGUCCCAAAGUCAUGGUUAAGUGGGAAACGAUGUGGGAAGGCCCAGACAGCCAGGAUGUUGGCUUAGAAGCAGCCAUCAUUUAAAGAAAGCGUAAUAGCUCACUGGUCGAGUCGGCCUGCGCGGAAGAUGUAACGGGGCUAAACCAUGCACCGAAGCUGCGGCAGCGACGCUUAUGCGUUGUUGGGUAGGGGAGCGUUCUGUAAGCCUGCGAAGGUGUGCUGUGAGGCAUGCUGGAGGUAUCAGAAGUGCGAAUGCUGACAUAAGUAACGAUAAAGCGGGUGAAAAGCCCGCUCGCCGGAAGACCAAGGGUUCCUGUCCAACGUUAAUCGGGGCAGGGUGAGUCGACCCCUAAGGCGAGGCCGAAAGGCGUAGUCGAUGGGAAACAGGUUAAUAUUCCUGUACUUGGUGUUACUGCGAAGGGGGGACGGAGAAGGCUAUGUUGGCCGGGCGACGGUUGUCCCGGUUUAAGCGUGUAGGCUGGUUUUCCAGGCAAAUCCGGAAAACUAAGGCUGAGGCGUGAUGACGAGGCACUACGGUGCUGAAGCAACAAAUGCCCUGCUUCCAGGAAAAGCCUCUAAGCAUCAGGUAACAUCAAAUCGUACCCCAAACCGACACAGGUGGUCAGGUAGAGAAUACCAAGGCGCUUGAGAGAACUCGGGUGAAGGAACUAGGCAAAAUGGUGCCGUAACUUCGGGAGAAGGCACGCUGAUAUGUAGGUGAAGUCCCUCGCGGAUGGAGCUGAAAUCAGUCGAAGAUACCAGCUGGCUGCAACUGUUUAUUAAAAACACAGCACUGUGCAAACACGAAAGUGGACGUAUACGGUGUGACGCCUGCCCGGUGCCGGAAGGUUAAUUGAUGGGGUCAGCGCAAGCGAAGCUCUUGAUCGAAGCCCCGGUAAACGGCGGCCGUAACUAUAACGGUCCUAAGGUAGCGAAAUUCCUUGUCGGGUAAGUUCCGACCUGCACGAAUGGCGUAAUGAUGGCCAGGCUGUCUCCACCCGAGACUCAGUGAAAUUGAACUCGCUGUGAAGAUGCAGUGUACCCGCGGCAAGACGGAAAGACCCCGUGAACCUUUACUAUAGCUUGACACUGAACAUUGAGCCUUGAUGUGUAGGAUAGGUGGGAGGCUUUGAAGUGUGGACGCCAGUCUGCAUGGAGCCGACCUUGAAAUACCACCCUUUAAUGUUUGAUGUUCUAACGUUGACCCGUAAUCCGGGUUGCGGACAGUGUCUGGUGGGUAGUUUGACUGGGGCGGUCUCCUCCUAAAGAGUAACGGAGGAGCACGAAGGUUGGCUAAUCCUGGUCGGACAUCAGGAGGUUAGUGCAAUGGCAUAAGCCAGCUUGACUGCGAGCGUGACGGCGCGAGCAGGUGCGAAAGCAGGUCAUAGUGAUCCGGUGGUUCUGAAUGGAAGGGCCAUCGCUCAACGGAUAAAAGGUACUCCGGGGAUAACAGGCUGAUACCGCCCAAGAGUUCAUAUCGACGGCGGUGUUUGGCACCUCGAUGUCGGCUCAUCACAUCCUGGGGCUGAAGUAGGUCCCAAGGGUAUGGCUGUUCGCCAUUUAAAGUGGUACGCGAGCUGGGUUUAGAACGUCGUGAGACAGUUCGGUCCCUAUCUGCCGUGGGCGCUGGAGAACUGAGGGGGGCUGCUCCUAGUACGAGAGGACCGGAGUGGACGCAUCACUGGUGUUCGGGUUGUCAUGCCAAUGGCACUGCCCGGUAGCUAAAUGCGGAAGAGAUAAGUGCUGAAAGCAUCUAAGCACGAAACUUGCCCCGAGAUGAGUUCUCCCUGACUCCUUGA
rnacentral:rRNA from 1 species